rnacentral:misc_RNA from 1 species
CUGUAAUUGAGCAGAACACAACAUUAAGCAAGCCUAUAUAUGCUCGCUUAAUUAUGAGAUCAACAUGGUUCAGAUUUGCGAAUUGCGAUACAUAUUCACUAGUUGGUUGGAGUUGUUGGAUGAUUCUUCCACUUGGGCUUCUUCACAAUCAUGACAGUGCAGUGAGCAUGAUGGGCGCAGUAGUCGCUCACACUUCCCAAAACCGCCCUUUUAAUCGCUCCAUAACCAUGACUGCCCACAACCAAUAUAUGUGCCUCAUGUUUCUCCACUGCCUCACACAGAACAUUCCUGGCAUCUCCUUCGACAACCUCAUAUGUAACAUCAGUCAGCGCAUUAGUACUGCAUAGCUCUUUAGCCGUCUCAAUAACCCUAACAGCAAUUUUCUUCAAAUCCGAUUCCAGAUAUGGCAUCACAUCAAUAACUCCGGGGCCGCCGAGUCCAACGACAGAUGAUGGAGUAGGCUUAGCGUGCACAACAACAAGCUUAAAUUGUGCCGCCGUGCCGGCAGGAAAGAAGUGGCCGAGGACCCACUGGAGGGCGUACAUGCUGUGCUCGCUGUCGUCGAUUCCGAACACCAUCGCCGGCUUCGU